GAUGAACGCUGGCGGCGUGCCUAAUACAUGCAAGUCGAGCGAACGGACGAGAAGCUUGCUUCUCUGAUGUUAGCGGCGGACGGGUGAGUAACACGUGGAUAACCUACCUAUAAGACUGGGAUAACUUCGGGAAACCGGAGCUAAUACCGGAUGAUAUUUUGAACCGCAUGGUUCAAAAGUGAAAGGCGGUCUUGCUGUCACUUAUAGAUGGAUCCGCGCUGCAUUAGCUAGUUGGUAAGGUAACGGCUUACCAAGGCAACGAUGCAUAGCCGACCUGAGAGGGUGAUCGGCCACACUGGAACUGAGACACGGUCCAGACUCCUACGGGAGGCAGCAGUAGGGAAUCUUCCGCAAAGGGCGAAAGCCUGACGGAGCAACGCCGCGUGAGUGAUGAAGGUCUUCGGAUCGUAAAACUCUGUUAUUAGGGAAGAACAUAUGUGUAAGUAACUGUGCACAUCUUGACGGUACCUAAUCAGAAAGCCACGGCUAACUACGUG
rnacentral:rRNA from 1 species